AAAAUUUUUCUUGGGUCAGUUUUAGAUAUCUUACAUUUUAGUUUUCAGAAUUUAUUACAAAGAAUUGGUUGAUAAGUAUGCCUGCUUGCUUGCUUGGGAUUAAUCCCUUCUAGGAGGGUGUAUUUGUGUGUGUAUGUGUGGUCUUUACAGAGACAACUGGAGCUAUAAGCGUGAGAUUUCAUUUGAUAAUCCAUAUUUCAUGCAAAACAUUCUCACCAGCAGACCAAAAUGAGAUUGCUACCAGAUUUUAAAAAUGUAUGAACAACCACCCUGUAUAAAUCGGUCCUCAGGACACUACCGGGCGAUUUGUCAUUGCCUUGCCACUAUUUAAAUGUGACAUCUGAAGAACCCUGUAUAUUAGGAAUACCAAUGAUCUGCAUGUUUAGGCAUAUAUCCCUUAUCUUAGAAAACCACAGGCUGACAGAAAUCCAUAGAGUAGAACAGCACAGCUGUAUAAUUUUCUCCUAUUUUAAAAGUAAAAUACAAUUUGUUAAAAAAAGUAUGACAUAUUUUAGAUAUCCCUUGCUUAACUCUGUCUGAAGUUACAUUUAAAUAGUAUAUGUAAGAAGAAAUCAGAGAUAGGCAAUGAAAAACCUCAUUUGCAUUGCACUAACUAUAGAGAGUGGUUCAGAUUAGGUGCAGACAUUAUUCACUAGCAAAAGUGUCCCGUUGUCAAGAAGACUUAAACUGGAUAUGUUCCUGCAUGGCAGGGAAUUGGACUGGAUGACCCUUGUGGUCUCUUCCAACUCUAUGAUUAUAUGAACCCUAUUCUGCAUUUCAUCUUAGAAAUCUACUGACAGAAGGGCUGACUGGGAGAACCAUUCUGUGAGUUCAUAUCUGUUGACACUAGAGUAAAAGGUGUGUCAAAAAAGCAGUGUUUAUAUGGGAGGGGAGGGUAGGGUAGGUAUUUAUACUAGAUUUUAGGCUCUUCUACACAUGCAUUAUAACCCAGGUUAAAUUGGGUUAAGGAGGGAGGGGUGGCUAAAUGCGGUAAGAAUCAGUAGGAAUUGGAUUAAGGGUGAGAAAACACAUGUUACAAAGGUGCCUUUUAAACCAGAUUCCUUCUGAAAAAAGUGCACCUUCCCAUGCCUGUGUAACCCUGCAGGCAUGGAAGACAAUGCUUUCCUUCCCUCUCCCCUGCUUGGAAUCCUCCCUAGCAUGUGCUUGUCAGGCAAGUCCAAAACAGCUGAUCAACUGUUAAACGCAGACACAUGUGGCUCAGGGAAGCAAAAGGGGAAAGGAAAUACAAAUUCUGACUUUUACACUUUGAAAUCUUAGAGAGAGCUUGACUUAAGAAUUGGGGGAAGACAGAGAUGCAAGGAUUCAAUUGCUAGAGACACGCUGAGGACUAAGAUGGAUAGGCCUAUCUUCCCUUCCUGCCUUAUUGAAGCAAAGUCACCACUGGAAGUGAACAACAGCAUCGUCAAAUUGGUUCUCAUAACAUGGAAUAUGAUUGGAAGUGCCUGUAUGUCAUGUGAAGGGCUAUAUGCUGAAAAUGGAGGGGAAGCAGCAUACGAUGGGCAAAUCGGCUCAUGUGAUGAGAUGUUUCAGAUGAAUCAAUUCAGGAAAUAGCAUGACCUCCAAGUCCAAGAACAUGGGAAAUGGAGAAGAGAACAGGAAGAUCACUAUUAUGGACAACUGGCUGCAGUCAUUGAAGAGCCUGCAUUGGCUGUUUCGGGCAAUGGAAACAAUUGUUUACUUUCUGGCUAGUAUACCUGUGGGCCUAUUCAUGUCCAAAUGUAUGACAUCAUUUUUGACCUCUUGUACCAGCUGACAUAUCCUGCUUUAUUCCAGAAUAUGGACUGGUUUGAGGACACUUCUCCAAAUCGACUCUUAUAGUCAAGGAGAUUCUCUAAGCCUUGUUGAUUUAUGACCUUACCUUAACUGCACCUGUUUCAAGAACACAAAGCUAAUUGCUUCCUUCCUCACAAGGUGCAAUAGGUGAGCAUUGUCAGCAGGGGUCCUUCCAGUUAGGAAUUUUUUUCUCAUUAAAAGGUUCUUAAAAAGAAAAAUAACAAUAUGAUGGCCUGAAUUCUGUUGCCUAAUUCCAAUGAAAGCAUACCCAUUGAAUUAAAUAUUAAAUGAGGAGUCAGCACAUAGAUAAAUCACAUGGAUUCAAUCUGUUUACUGUAGUUGAAAGUGGCAGAAGCAUUUGAACCCAUAUGUUUCAAGAUUCUGUGUUAUCUGUUUCAAAAGUUUUUUUCUGAUUGUUAUAAUAUUGAAAAAAAAUUACAAAAUUUUAAUGCAUUUCCACCUGCUCAGAAAAAAAGUUUUUUUUAAAGAUGCCAUUCAUCAGCCAUAUGGAUUUAUACAACAUAUAAUUUUAAGCACAUGUUCUAUUGAUAAUGAAUUCUAGAAGACAAAAGGUAGAACAUGAUUACACACAUUGCUAGAUAAGAUGAAAUGUGAAUAAUUACUUCUCCAGAACAGAGGCAUGUACUGUAUGGAGACAGUGACCUAUGCUUAUUGAUGCAUAAAAAAUGAUAUAGUUUCUACCUUAGUAAUAGACAUUAUUUUACUUUAUUUAAAGAGGGAAUUUAUUUGGUCAAUUGAAGUCUGAACUGCAGCUGACUCUGGCAUAAAGAGAGAGGAAGCUGUAAGCUUCAGUUUUGCCAAAUAUCUUGUUUCUCCAGCUGUAUGUUUGCUUUGGCCUCCAUUUCUAUCAUUUUGCAAAUAUGGGGCAAGUCAUCCUCUUCCAAAUUGGUCCACUAAAAUCAUAUUUUUAUCCACCUUUUUCUCAUAUAAAUAUAUUGUGCAUACCUUUUCAACUGCAUAAACAUUUGAAAGUAUUUUGCUCUUGUGUGGGUUAUUUUCACCUCAGUUUGGAUCCUCUCGUAGCAUUUGCAUUUCCUUUGUUUCAAAUCAGAAUAAGAUCUAAGAGACACUAGGUCCUCAAUGUCAAUUUCUGUACAAAAAGUGCAUGCAUAUAUUUGAUGGGAAUAAGGCAAAACCAGUAUUGCUGAUGGACUGUCAUCUUUGGUUACUAUUUCACAACACCAUGCACACCUCACUGCCAGUCUGCCUCCUCCCUCAUUCUAGCUUUUUUCAUGUCAGGAGUGACUUGGGAAACUACAAGUUGCUUCUGAUGUGAGACAACUGGCCUUUUGCAAGAACAUUGCCCACGGGAUGCCUGGAUGUUUUACCAUCCUAUGGGAGGCUUCUCUCAUGUCCGCACAUGAGAAGCUGGAACUGACUGAUGGGAGCUUACCCCACUUCCCGGAUUUGAACCCAUUGUGCCACCAGGGGGUCCACUUCUAGCUAUUAAUGGGUAAAACCAGUCAAUAUCUCUCUAACUCACAAUGCUCUUGUCACCUAACCUGGUACAAUAGGCCUGUUCCACUUCUGUGCUGGCAUGACUGCAAUAAAGUGAUGUCAGAGAGUGGGAUUCUUCUCUGCUCCUUGCUAUCGCAAAGCUAUUCAUUUUCCAUUUAUUUUGUAUUUUAUAGUUACGGUUUCUGUUUUGCAAAGAUGAAAUAUAUCUUUAAAAAAUCUAGAAAAGAGUAGUGAUAUGGGAAGGCUAUGCAGAAAUAUGUUCAUGGGACUAGAAAUGGUCAAAUUGUGAAAUUUCCCAAUUGGAAUGAAGUGCAAUAUAAAAGGUGUUCAAUCUGGUAUUUAUCCACUAUCAAUGAUUGCAUUGCUAAAUAAUGGUUUGUGCGAGAAAGUCCUACAUUACAAGCUGUGAACAGUCUUUAAAAACUGCACAUUUCUUUUUUUUCAAAGUUUAUUUAUAAAAUUUACAAAGAGUUGCAUUAAAAGUGGGAGAAUAUUGGGAUCUCAUAGGAAAGUAGGAAAUGAAUACCUAAAAAGAAGAGAAAGAGAAAAAAGAAGAAAAGAGAGAGAGAAGGAAAAAAAAGAAUAAAAAGUUUUUGUGACUUUCAUCCUUGUCCAUGUCAUUUUGUUGCAGGAGAUACCCCUUCCCCUGUAUUGACUGUACUUUAUUCUUAAUUCUGCUCCUCUAUAUUUAACAAGUUUUUCUCUAGACUUAUGUCUUUAUAUUACUAAUAUUUUCUUUCCUUUCCUGAUAUAAUCUAAUAAAGGUUUCCAGUCUGUGUUUUUCUUUGGUACCCUUUGUUACUUAGUUAUUAUGUAUGUUAAUCGAUCCAUAUUUUUGAUUUCCAUUACCUUGAUCAACCACUCGUCUAUAUUCGGUAUCGCUUCCUGCCUCCAAUACUUCGCAUAUAUAAUCCUUGCAGCCGUUAUCAUAUAAUUAAAUAGUAAUUCUUCAUUCUCCUUCAUCUGCACAUUUCUUGAUAGUUCUCUUGCAGCAAGGAAAAAAUCUUUAAAAUGUCAUUCUAGUUUGAAAUAAUGAAGUUCAUGAAGACGUAGUUCUGUAUUCCUGAGUUAUACCUCUUGUCCUCUUGUUGGUGCAGUUUAUUCCCUUGGUUUCCCACCUCAUCCUCUUCACCCUUCUGCAUACAAUCAACUCACUUUUUUUUUGUUUGGGGGCUCUGCAACAUGUUUUUGACUCCAUGGUGGAGAUGGAACUUAGUAGCCCAUUGGCUGUGUUUUUGGCCUUACUCCAGCAAGUUGUUCUGGCAUAUGAUCAUCUAUCAUAAUGUGUCUGUGACUGCGUGCAUUUUCUUCUUCUUUUGGCAUCCAUCUAUGGGUAUCCAGCAUAGCAUGGUCAGGUUUGGACAAUGUUUUGUAGAACACAUUAUCCCUGUUCAAUAUAUUUUUUGAAAAAAGAUCAUCCAGAAAGCUCCAACUAACACAGCAUAGCAGUAUCUUUAAAAUGUCAUCAAAAGAAAACCUGGAAGCUCUUCUAGUCAUACCAUUAAGAUAAAUGUAAAUAAUUUCUCCCUUGCACCUCAAAAUAAUUUUUGAAUUUGGCUUCCCAAAAAUUUUAAUUCUGUGAAAUAGCAUGGGAAAGAACCA